rnacentral:rRNA from 1 species
UAGGGAAUCUUCGGCAAUGGGGGGAACCCUGACCGAGCAACGCCGCGUGAGUGAAGAAGGUUUUCGGAUCGUAAAGCUCUGUUGUUAAGGAAGAACGAGUGUGAGAAUGGAAAGUUCAUGCUGUGACGGUACUUAACCAGAAAGGGACGGCUAACUACGUGCCAGCAGCCGCGGUAAUACGUAGGUCCCGAGCGUUGUCCGGAUUUAUUGGGCGUAAAGCGAGCGCAGGCGGUUAGAAAAGUCUGAAGUGAAAGGCAGUAGCUUAACUACUGUAAGCAUUUGAAACUGCAUAUCUUGAGAAGAGUAGAGGUAAGUGGAAUUUUUAGUGUAGCGGUGAAAUGCGUAGAUAUUAAAAAGAAUACCGGUGGCGAAGGCGACUUACUGGGCUCAUUCUGACGCUGAGGAACGAAAGCGUGGGUAGCAAACAGG